rnacentral:rRNA from 1 species
AAACUAGGAUUAGAUACCCUAUUAUUUUAGGGAAAAUUUGUUUACUUUGGUAUUAUAAUUACAUUUAAAUUAAAAGAUUUUGGCGGUUUAUUAAUCUAUUCAGAGGAAUCUGUAUUUUAAUUGAAAUCCCACAAUUUUUUUUACCUUUAAUUUUCUUGUAUAUCUCUGUCGUUGAAUGUAUUUAGAGAUAAUUUUCUUUUUCUUUUAUAAUUUAUGUUAGGUCAAGGUGCAGUUUAUUUAUAGGUUAAUGUGGAUUACAUUAAUUAUUGUUUGUUUUUUUAAUUUUAAAAUUAAUUAAUUUUAAAUUGGAUUUGAUAGUAAUUUUUUUUUUUAAAUUUAUUGAAUUUUGUUUUGAUUUAUGUACAUAUUGCCCGUCACUCUCAUUUAUUGAGAUAAGUCGUAACAAAGUAGAUGUAUUGGAAGUUGUAUCUAGACUCAG